CAGUCGCCACGGUAAUACGUAGGUGGCAAGCGUUGUCCGGAUUUAUUGGGCGUAAAGCGAGCGCAGGCGGUCAAUUAAGUCUGAUGUGAAAGCCCCCGGCUCAACCGGGGAGGGUCAUUGGAAACUGGUUGACUUGAGUGCAGAAGAGGAGAGUGGAAUUCCAUGUGUAGCGGUGAAAUGCGUAGAUAUAUGAAGGAACACCAGUGGCGAAGGCGACUCUCUGGUCUGUAACUGACGCUGAGGCUCGAAAGCGUGGGUAGCAAACAGGAUUAGAUACCCGGGUAGUCCCUGUCUCUUAUAC
rnacentral:rRNA from 1 species